GGGCCUUAGUGCUCAUUUACCUCUAUAAAUAUGAGUAGCACGGUAUAACCUUGAGUCAUGUAGGGGUAUUUUUCUGAGGGAGUUUUGCCUGCAAUGACUCUUGUCAUAGGUUUAUUUCUGGAGUAGACUAGCUGGCUUUGAGCUGGAUUCUCCAAGUUGCAGUAUCACAUUUGCUCAAAAAUUGCCUUGUGGGUUGGAAAUUCUUCAGGCUUAAUCCUGGGAAUGGAGGUAAAAUGACCAUUGCAAAUGACAUCAAAGACACAAGGUUGCUGGUGUUUUCACCUAACAUCCAGGAUUCCACAGCCUAAACUGAUGGACCUGUGUGUGAUUCUUCCAACAGCUCACAUCAGCUCAGUGCUGGACAGCUGGGGAUUCUUUCACCAGUGACUGUGCCCAGCAUUAGAGGACUGUGCAACUCCUGGCUGAUCUGUAGAUACCUUCUGAAAUAGGGAAUGUUUUAGAUGGGAAGAACAAAUUUGAAAACCCUCGUAUUUUUCUAAGGGAAGUUCAACCAAUUUUUUUCUUGUAUUUAUGAAUUUCAAGUAUACAGCCAGGCUUCAAAUAGCUGAUUAGCUUGCUUGAUAAGAAGAACUUGCAUAAAAUUAUAGUCAUGUGUCUACACUUUCAGUUUAAUAGAAAAUGUGAGAUGCAAUAUGUGGGUGGCAUGCUCAAAGCAAUAGCUUCAGGUAGUGAUCACAACUAAGUCCUGCUGCAUUUGUUAGCCUUAGAAAGAAAAAUAAUACAAUAAUCAAGGUGUGAGGUGUUGUGAGCUUGCGUGAGCACUGUUGCCAUGUGGAUGAAUACAAAACUGCCCCAUCUACUGUACUUCUCCCAACAAUCCAAGCAGCUCAUUUUGCACUCCUUUUGCCUCAGUUUAAACUAAACAGAAAUUAAAAAAAAAAAAAAAAAAAGGGGAAACUUAAAUAAAUAAGCAAAUA